AACGAACGCUGGCGGCAUGCUUAACACAUGCAAGUCGAACGUUAAAGCUCCGUUCGGGGUGAUUAAAGUGGCGCACGGGUGAGUAACGCGUAGAUAACCUGCCCUUGAGUCUGGAAUAACUCUUCGAAAGGAGAGCUAAUACCGGAUAAUUACUUUGAUCGAGUGGUCGAAAGUUGAAAGUUUUUCGCUCGGGGAUGGGUCUGCGUACCAUUAGCUUGUUGGUGGGGUAAUAGCCUACCAAGGCUGCGAUGGUUAGCGGGUCUGAGAGGAUGAUCCGCCACACUGGAACUGAGACACGGUCCAG
rnacentral:rRNA from 1 species